UACGAAGGGGGCUAGCGUUGUUCGGAUUUACUGGGCGUAAAGCGCACGUAGGCGGAUCGUUAAGUCGGGGGGUGAAAUCCUGGAGCUCAACUCCAGAACUGCCUUCGAUACUGGCGAUCUUGAGUCCGGAAGAGGUGAGUGGAACUCCUAGUGUAGAGGUGGAAUUCGUAGAUAUUAGGAAGAACACCAAGUGGCGAAGGCGGACU
rnacentral:rRNA from 1 species